GUCAGGAUAGCUGAGUGGUCUGAAACACCAGACUCAAGCUACUGUCUUUCCCCUAGUGGGGUGUGCUGGUUUCUAAAUGGAAGCGUGGGUUAAAAUCCCACUCCUGGCA
rnacentral:tRNA from 1 species